rnacentral:lncRNA from 1 species
CUGCGCGCCGCAAUCUCUUCCUCGACGCGCCGCCAGAUCUCCACCUCGACGCUCUGCUGGUCCUCUGCAUCCACAUGCCGCCGGAACUCCGCCUCGAACUUCAGUUUUUGUGGUAUGGAUCCCUUCCCCUCUCCACCAAAUCUUACUCUGUGCACUGCCUGCCGCCUCUCAAGCAACACGUACCAUUGCCCUGCUUGGUGUGUUGUGCUCACAUGCUCCUUUGUCGCACUGCGCCGUCCCCUUCGCCUCUCCGGCCCAAUCGCAGUCGCAGGUGUUCUCCGACCAGUUCAUCAGGAACCACCGAAGGACGCACGCGAGCAACAUUUGGCAUUGAGAGCCUCGCUGGUUUGACGCUUGCACACAAGCGACGGAUCAAAGGAGCCUGCGAACUAUGUAACUGAAUGUUGUUUCUUUCCGCCAAUCAUCUAUUCUCAAUUUCCUCAAAUCAUCUUCUGAUAAAUGAUCCUCUGAUAUUGAUAUCAAAGAGAAACAUGUUUUACAGUCUUUUAGAUUUCGGUCAUCAGAGGGAAUUUGGAUUCUUUUUCUGUCACCACACAAAGAAUUGUAUGUCAGUGCCAAUUGAAAAGGUGAAGGAGAAUUGAGUUUUGUUUUAUCUGUACUGCAUUAUCUGUCUACGGGGGGCAAUCAUGGAGAAGCAAAGUUUAACUGAGAUUUCAAAAUUUUGUGGCCUUGGUAAAAAAAAGGUGCUUCUACUUCUUGAAACUCCGGACUGCUCAUGUACUAUUUCACAUUGCCAUCUUUGUUACUCAUUGCUUACUUGACAGAUAUACAAAAGAUGGAAAGCGAACACUGCCCAUCACAUAUUAAUAAUGUCAUCUCCAGAGUAAAGUCAUGCAAACUUUCUGGACUGUUGUGCUAAUCAAACCUUAUUUGAUGAAUUUCGUAGGAAGUAUUCAGUUAUGGAUCCAUUCUAUGGGUGGAAUUAUAGACUCCUUGUGUGUGUGUAUGUUUAUUCUUGCUUGAAUCUGGUGCUGAAGGUGUGAACAGGUGAGUCCUGCUUGCAAGUUUGUCUAAAGAAUGGUGGUCUUUGAUGUAUUAGCCCUUCCAUGUUAGCUUGUUUCCUUUUCUUUUUUUGGGGGUUUACACGGGUAUGUCCAUGUUUGCCUCAAGGGCUGAGUGACUGAGUUUCGUGAGCAUGUGCACACGGGUGUAGAAGGUCUUAGCUUUCAGAUAAACACUAAUUGCUAUCUUUACAUGGUGAAAAUGUGCAGGAAGACGAUCCCGUUGGAGGAGAUCCUGACCAUCAUUGAAAGAUUAGCUUGUUUGUUUCUACAAAAGUUGGGUAAAGCAACUACCAAACUAUGAAUGGAAUAAGUCUAAAAAGAAAGCUAUUCCAAUACAGGAUGAGAAGAGCCUCAAGUUCGUUGGCGACCAUGUUCGUUAAUAUUUUUGUUAGAAUCCUUCAUUCUAAGCUUGCAUUAUAAUAAAAUUUGGCACAAAGAUAUGAUUUCAAUCAUGUGUCUGUUGUAGCCAAGGCCAUACAUCCCCUCCUACCCUGAGUAAAUUUGAAGCUCCAUAUUUUAAUUUUGAACCCUAAAAUGUUGUACUCACUUGGCAAUCCCAGAUCUGUUCUGGACUCUUGGUAUUCAAUCUAAAUUAUAACCAGGCAUGACGCUCAAUAUUGUAGCAAUGAACAUCAGGGUGUGUACUAAGUUCCAACUAAGAAAGUUCAGUUUGGCUAUUUCCUUUUUUACACAGACCAGACUAAGUAGCUGCAAAAGUGUUCUAUCCUUUUGAGUUUUUGUGUAAGAGAAGGUACCAUCAAGCAUCAACUAUCUCGCAUAAUAUGAAAUGGAUAGCUUCAAACAUGCAGGUAUCCCAUGAGCUUGAGUUAUAUUACUAAAGCGUGGAUCUGUAUGUAUAAGUUUAAAAAUGUCCUAUAGUCAAAAAUUUGUAUCAUUUUUGAAGUGUUGCUUUGUUGUCUUUACCUAAUGAUAACCCAUUAGCAAAUAAAAGUAAAUAAUCUGUUCCUUAUUUUAGCACCUCCUUCAUUAUGUUGUUGUUAAUAGUAGCAUUUUUUUGUCCAGAUUUUGAUUACAUUAUGAGUCUGCAUACCUUGUUUCUAAUUAUUUAAGUUCAACAUGUCCCUUCAAACGCCAUGAAUCAAGUCUGUUCGCUAAUAAGCCACGGCGAAUGCGUCGGGUGCCUGUGCGUGCGCGCGCCGGGUGCGGUCCGGACCGUGGCGUGCAUGUGUGUGUAGUGUUUGGGUCCGCGUGUGUAUGUGCGUGCGACACACCAUAGUAGGAGUAGGCCGUUGGCGAACCAGUCAGGGCGAGCGUGGAGAUCGCCGUAGGCCGAUCGGGCACCCGGCUAUGUAGGAGGCGUGGGGUUAGUGCCCAGAGCUGGCCCAGGGUAUAAAGCCCGCGUGGGUACGUUGCAAUGGGCGGGGGUGUAGAGUUUGUGCUCUGGAAAAGUCAUUUGUUGCGGCAGGCGUUAGUGCAUCGGAAAACCUCACUGUGUCCACAGUGCUUUCUCCUCCUUUCUUCUUCCGUUUGUGGCGAGAGAGAGAGAGACCGCGGCGAACUAGGGCAAGGGCUCGGCACUAACCAAGUCUGUGGUACGGUAGCAUGAUGCGUCCACUCCCAACAUGAGAUCAAAUUCUUUUAGUUUCAGGUAGGAAACUAUCAUUGUUAUUAUUUUAUUCUCUGGAUGUUGCACAAAUGCUUGAACAAUUUCAGCCACUUGUAGAUUUCAGUGUAGUGGUUGUAAAAGUGUUGAUGGAAAUGGCUUAUUGAGUUGCCAAUUUUGAAUUGCAGGGGUUGGUGAAGCACAAACAAGCGACAAAGGGCUUGGAGUAGACACCCAGCUCCAUGGUUCCAUUAUGCAAGAUGUGGCUUGGAUUGCCGUGCUGCUGAAAACAACCAACGGUGGCUCCGCUUGGUUUUGAAAUUGGGAGGGUUUAAUUUAAGAUUUUAUAUUUUCCCCUGUUUUUGUAUGGACAAUGUGUGUGCCGUCCAUAAAAUGUUUAGUUAUGUUUGGCAGAUGAGUACAAACUCUUUUUUCACUCCACGUUUACCAUGAAGAAUGAAACACACAUCAGUUGGCUCACUUCAGUUCCUGUGCUAAGUGAUAAUCCAUGCAGUCUCUUAUUCUGAAUGUUAUACACUUUUGUUCUAGGGUCAUACUGACUCGCAUUUAAAUGUCGGACCAUGUCAAAUGAUGCCAGUG